rnacentral:rRNA from 1 species
UUCAGACUUCCAAGAAAAUCCGCUAAGCAUAUUUUGCAGCUGCCCGUACCGCAAACCGACACAGGUAGUCGAGAAGAAUAUUCUAAGGUGCUCGAGAGAUUCAUGGCUAAGGAACUCGGCAAAAUAAACCUGUAACUUCGGGAGAAGGGUUGCCUCCUCUAGCAAUAGAGAGGUCGCAGAGAAAUGGCCCAGGCGACUGUUUAACAAAAACACAUGGCUAUGCGAAAUCGCAAGAUGAAGUAUAUGGCCUGACACCUGCCCGGUGCUGGAAGGUUAAGGGGGGAAGUUAGCAGCAAUGCGACUCUUUGAACUGAAGCCCCAGUAAACGGCGGCCGUAACUAUAACGGUCCUAAGGUAGCGAAAUUCCUUGUCGGGUAAGUUCCGACCUGCACGAAUGGUGUAACGAUCUGGGCGCUGUCUCAGCCAUGAGCUCGGUGAAAUUGUAGUAACGGUGAAGAUGCCGUUUACCCGUCACGGGACGGAAAGACCCCAUGAACCUUUACUAUAGCUUCACAUUGAUAUUGGGAAGAUGAUGUGUAGGAUAGGCGGGAGGCAAUGAUCUGGUGGCGCUAGCUAUCAGGGAGUCAACGGUGAAAUACCGCCCUUUAUUUUUCCGAUAUCUAACCACCGCAAGGUGGGACAUUGUGUGGUGGGUAGUUUGACUGGGGUGGUCGCCUCCGAAAGUGUAUCGGAGGCUUUCAAAGGUAUGCUCAGUACGCUUGGUAACCGUACGUGGAGUGCAUUAGCAUAAGCAUGCUUGACUGUGAGACAGACAAGUCGAUCAGGCGCGAAAGCGGGAUAAAGUGAUCCGGUGGUUCUGCAUGGAAGGGCCAUCGCUCAAAGGAUAAAAGGUACUCUGGGAUAACAGGCUGAUCUCCCCCAAGAGCUCAUAUCGACGGGGAGGUUUGGCACCUCGAUGUCGGCACGUCACAUCCUGGGGCUGGAGAAGGUCCCAAGGGUUGGGCUGUUCGCCCAUUAAAGUGGCACGCGAGCUGGGUUCAGAACGUCGUGAGACAGUUCGGUCCCUAUCUGUGAUGGGCGCAGGAAGUUUGAGAGGCUCUGACCUUAGUACGAGAGGACCGGGUUGGAGCAACCGCUGGUGUACCGGUUGUCAUGUCAGUGGCACUGCCGGGUAGCUAUGUUGCGACGGAAUAAGCGCCGAAAGCAUCUAAGCGCGAAAUCCACCUCGAGAUGAGACUUCCUUAUAAGGGCCGUCGUAGUCUACGACGUUGAUAGGCUGCAGGUGUAAAGUCAGAAAUGGCAAAGCCGAGCAGUACUAAUUACCCAG